AAUUAAUGAGCUUGUUUAAUAAGCAUUUGUUUUGAAAACAUAAGAAAGAAUAAAUAUUCUAUUAAUUU
rnacentral:tRNA from 1 species